rnacentral:tRNA from 1 species
UGCUGUUUUGGCGGAAAAACGUGUAAAGUUUAGGACUUUAGUAUGAGGAUAGCUCAGGCAGUA